CGCGACCGGGGUCUCGGGUCCGCGGAAUGGGGCCGGCCCGCCGCGCGGAACUGCCCGGGAGGGGGCGGGGCGGGAUUCAGCGUCCCACGGGCCGGAGGCAGCACUUCCGUCUGCCGGGGGCUCUUCCCGUCUGAGGAGUUCUGAACCCCGAGGUACCGGGCUCGGAGUCCUGGCCGCCACCUGGCGCGACUUCGUUUGAGCUGAAGGAGAUUCCUUGGAAUGAAACCAAUGGGAGUCCAGGGUUUGGGAGAGUCUCAUCAGAGCAGAUGGGCCAGCAGCAGCCAGAAAGCUUGUUGCCUUUGGCUGAGAGCACUGUCCUGGAUCUGAACGUCUUGUAGGGAAGCUGAGGCCCAAGGACAGGAACAGACUUGCCAUGGACAUCCCGGGAGCCCAGAGGCAACUCAGGCCAGUGUAAGUCCGUCCUUCUGAAUCUCUUACAUCAAUUCCGAAUCCACACAGCAACCACGCAGGCCCAUGCUCAGGAGCUCCUUAGCCGUACCCAGCAGGGGCUUGGCCACCUGUGGCAGGACCUCCGCAGGAGGGUUCCAGGCUUGCCCAUUUCUGCCGAGCAACAGAGAGCCGCCACUGCCUUGUCUCCUGUCCUGCAGCCGCAAACAUGAAGUCGCAGGCCUUUUUUAUUCCCCCAUUAAUACUUAACAUAACAUUUACUCUGUGCCAGGCACCCACUGUAGUGCUCCACAAAGAGUAAUUUAUAUGAUCCUCAUUGGAUGGGAGGCUAUAUUGAUUUUGAUAUCUUUCCUGAGAAAAGCAUAUCCCUGCCUGUGUUCUGGACCUGGUACGUUUCUGUAAACAGGGGUCUUCUGAAACUUUGUCUCUGAUCCUCAGUUUCCUCCUUUGUGAAAUGGGACUGAGUCCCGGACCUGUCAGCACUGCCCCCUAAGGGCAGAAUGUAGAACCAAUGGGUGGAAAUUACAGGGAGGCAGAGUGCAGCUCAGAGUAGGUAAGAACUUUCCAGCUGAGCUGAUCACAGGAGAAAUGGGCUGCCCUGAGCAGUAGUGAACUUCCUGUUGCCUGAAGCAAUCAAGCAGAAGCAAGCCACAGGGCAGUACAGAGCUGCCUGGGCCCUGGGGCCACCUGCUUCGCUGGUUUUCAAAUUGUUCUCCAGCAGCAGACCCUCUGCCCCACAUUCCCAGGAAGUCACAGAGGCAGAGCUGCUGGGGAAGAGAAGGGGCUUCAUACGUAUUUAUUGAAUCAGUGAGCUGGUGGGGACACCCGGGCCCAGCCCGGAGGCUUCUAGGAACACAACAUGGAAAUCCCUGAUCUGCCCAGUUGUCACUUGGACAGACGAGGGAACCCCACGAGGGGAGUUUUCACUGCACUCUGCAAAGACAGCCCAGAACAAACGUCAAUAGCACUUGCCCGUGUCUGCAAAGAACACCUCUGGAAGGGCUCCCGCCGCUGCCUUCAGGGAGGGAACUUCCCCGGGGAGGACUUCCCACUAUUCCAUACUCUUGUUCCUUUUUAAUGUUUGGUGCAUGCAAGUAUUAUUUACAUUUUAAAAAGCACAAAUAGAUUAAUCUUGUUAUUCAAAAGAAAGCCACUUAG